rnacentral:rRNA from 1 species
GUCUUUUUGAUUUAUAUUUAAAGUCUAGCCUGCCCACUGAAAUUUUUAAAUGGCCGCAGUAAUUUGACUGUGCAAAGGUAGCAUAAUCAUUAGUUUUUUAAUUAAAAGCUUGUAUGAAAGGUUGGACGAGGUAAAAUCUGUCUCUAUUUAAUUAAAUUUAGAAUUUAAUUUUUAAGUUAAAAAGCUUAAAUAUUUAUAAAAGACGAGAAGACCCUAUAGAGCUUUAUAAUUUAUAUAAUAUAAUUAAUUAAGAUUAUUUUAAGUUUUAUUUUAUAAAAUAUUUUAUUGGGGUAAUAAAAAGAUUUAAAUAAUUCUUUUUUAAAAUUAACAUUAAUUUGUGAAAUUAAUGAUCCAUUUUUAUUGAUUAAAAGAUUAAGUUACCUUAGGGAUAACAGCGUAAUUUUUUUAAAGAGUUCAUAUCGAUAAAAAAGUUUGCGACCUCGAUGUUGGAUUAAAGAUUAGUUUAGGUGUAGAAGUUUAAAUUUUUGGUCUGUUCGACCAUUAAAUCUUUACAUGAUCUGAGUUCAAACCGGAGAAAGCCAGGUCGGUUUCUAUCUUUAUUAAAUUAAAAUAUUUUAGUACGAAAGGACCAAAUAUUUAAUAUAUUUAUAUUUUAUUUUUUGAAUAUUAAU